AUUGAACGCUGGCGGCAGGCUUAACACAUGCAAGUCGAGCGGGGUGAUGGUGCUUGCACUAUCACUUAGCGGCGGACGGGUGAGUAAUGCUUAGGAAUCUGCCUAUUAGUGGGGGACAACAUCUCGAAAGGGAUGCUAAUACCGCAUACGUCCUACGGGAGAAAGCAGGGGAUCACUUGUGACCUUGCGCUAAUAGAUGAGCCUAAGUCGGAUUAGCUGGUUGGUGGGGUAAAGGCCUACCAAGGCGACGAUCUGUAGCGGGUCUGAGAGGAUGAGCGGCCACACUGGGACUGAGACACGGCCCAGACUCCUACGGGAGGCAGCAGUGGGGAGUAUUGGACAAUGGGGGGAACCCUGAUCCAGCCAUGCCGCGUGUGUGAAGAAGGCCUUAUGGUUGUAAAGCACUUUAAGCGAGGAGGAGGCUCUUUUGGUUAAUACCCAAGAUGAGUGGACGUUACUCGCAGAAUAAGCACCGGCUAACUCUGUGCCAGCCGCCGCAGUAA
rnacentral:rRNA from 1 species